CCAGAUUUGAAAACAACAUUCAUCUAUCUCCAUGGGAUUUCAAUUUGGGGAAGCUUAGUAUUCCAUGUGAAAAUGUCUCCAUUUCAUACGAUCCAUAUAUGUACAAUACCUCCAACGAUGGAAACUUAAUCGUACAUUUUCCGUUGUCAAAGGAUGCUAAUCUUGUAGACUCCAAAUUUCCCAGAUUUUCUGCCACCGAAGAGCUAAACAAGUUCAUCAUUUUAUUGCAUCCUCCGACCCUAAGGUACUUCAAAUUUAGGAAUGUGACUGAGGAUGGCAAUAUGCACUUCAAAUUCUCACAUCCCCGUAUGUCAAUGUUUUCCAAACUAUCAAAGCUAAUUGUGGUGACUUCGCUACUUUCUUUCCACACAUGCAUAAGCUUUGGAAGAUUCCAUAAUGUCAACUUCUUCAACCUUGCACAUCUUUGAACAUCAUUAUUAUUGCUUCUACUUAAUUCUUCAGUUUCAAACACUUGUAUCAGCUUACGAGCAUCUUCGAUUAUAAAUUCUUCAAUAUUGUACAAUACUUCACUCAUUUCCAAUGGCAAACAAACUAUGUCAUCAUCCUCACAACCAAUCAGUUUAAGACUUAUGAGUUCGGAGAAUGAUUCUGAUUUUUGGCAAAACCUUUUCUUCACUGAUUUCAAGCUCAAUUCCAUAUUUCUCAUACCCUGGAGGCUUUCAAUCUGAAAAGAAACAGAGAUUCAAAAACUAUUAAUUUUCAAUUUUAUUUUUCUUUAUUUCAAAAUCCCAGACUUCGUACCUAACAUUGUUUUUCCCUUCAUUUUAUUUUAAGUGGUUUUUUUUUUUUUUUAAAUCUAAGAUAAGGGUAGAAAAAUGACCAAGUAUUUAAGAGUCAGUAAAAUGGGUUUUAAAGUUAAGGGUAGAGUGGUAAUUUGGUUUUAUGGCAAAUUUGUAAUUAUUCCGAUCUUCUACACCUUCUGUCUUUUAAUUAGACAAAAGAAAAGAGAAAGAAAAGAGGGCAGCCGACAGUCAAGAACAGACAAACAGGGAAAGAAAGAGCGAACUUCGAACGGCUUCCCAGUUGACGGUGUUGACUGCCAACGGCAUUAGUUUACGGAGGCUUUCGGUGUCGGGUUGGUCGACGGGUUCUUCAGUGUUGGGUCUUGACGGGUUUGUUGGAACGUUGGAUCUGUGGCUGGUUUUCUACGAGUUUGGGUCUAGGCAUCAGUUCAGCGUUGGUCUCUCAGUCUUUCUUGACGUUUUGGUUGAUACUAUGGUUGGGUUUGUGGUUAAUUACAUAUUGCUAGUCUUGUUGAUUUCUUCGAUGUAAGACCAAAUAAUUGGUCGAACUACUAUAUACAGCGUUUUUGGUUGGGAGUUUGUUAUAGGUAACAGAACUUGGUGUGUUAUUUCCAACCGUAAAAAAAACUAGAAAUCAUGUAUUUAGAGUAGAUUGUAUAACGUAUAAUUUGGAGGAAAUGAAAAUGUGAUCUUUUCUUAA